rnacentral:rRNA from 1 species
CCUACGGGGGGCAGCAGUAGGGAAUAUUGCUCAAUGGGGGAAACCCUGAAGCAGCAACGCCGCGUGGAGGAUGAAGGUUUUCGGAUUGUAAACUCCUUUUGUUAGAGAAGAUAAUGACGGUAUCUAACGAAUAAGCACCGGCUAACUCCGUGCCAGCAGCCGCGGUAAUACGGAGGGUGCAAGCGUUACUCGGAAUCACUGGGCGUAAAGGGCGCGUAGGCGGGAUAGCAAGUCAGAUGUGAAAUCCUAUGGCUUAACCAUAGAACUGCAUUUGAAACUAUGAGUCUAGAGUGUGGGAGAGGUAGGUGGAAUGCUUGGUGUAGGGGUAAAAUCCGUAGAUAUCAAGAGGAAUACUCAUUGCGAAGGCGACCUACUGGAACAUUACUGACGCUCAUGCACGAAAGCGUGGGGAGCAAACAGGAUUAGAUACCCCAGUAGUC